GGGGGACAACAUCUCGAAAGGGAUGCUAAUACCGCAUACGUCCUACGGGAGAAAGCAGGGGACCUUCGGGCCUUGCGCUAAUAGAUGAGCCUAAGUCGGAUUAGCUAGUUGGUGGGGUAAAGGCCUACCAAGGCGACGAUCUGUAGCGGGUCUGAGAGGAUGAUCCGCCACACUGGGACUGAGACACGGCCCAG
rnacentral:rRNA from 1 species